UACGUAGGGCGCAAGCGUUUGUCCGGAAUUAUUGGGCGUAAAGAGCUCGUAGGCGGUCUGUCACGUCUGCCGUGAAAACCCGAGGCUUAACCUCGUGGCUUGCGGUGGAUACGGGCAGACUAGAGGUAGGUAGGGGAGAAUGGAAUUCCCGGUGUAGCGGUGAAAUGCGCAGAUAUCGGGAGGAACACCGGUGGCGAAGGCGGUUCUCUGGGCCUUACCUGACGCUGAGGAGCGAAAGCGUGGGGAGCGAACAGG
rnacentral:rRNA from 1 species